UAGUCCACGCCGUAAACGAUGGUCACUCGCUGUUGGCGAUAUAAUGUCAGUGGCUGAGCGAAAGCAUUAAGUGACCCACCUGGGGAGUACGUUCGCAAGAAUGAAACUCAAAGGAAUUGACGGGGGCCCGCACAAGCGGUGGAGCAUGUGGUUUAAUUCGAUGAUACGCGAGGAACCUUACCAGGGCUUAAAUGCAUUUUGACAGGUCUGGAAACAGAUUUUUCUUCGGACAAAUUGCAAGGUGCUGCAUGGUUGUCGUCAGCUCGUGCCGUGAGGUGUCGGGUUAAGUCCCAUAACGAGCGCAACCCUUAUUGUUAGUUACCAGCGAGUAAUGUCGGGGACUCUAACGAAACUGCCGGUGUAAACCGUGAGGAAGGUGGGGAUGACGUCAAAUCAGCACGGCCCUUAUGUCCAGGGCUACACACGUGUUACAAUGGCCAGUACAAAGGGCAGCUACCUGGUGACAGGAUGCAAAUCUCUAAAACUGGUCUUAGUUCGGAUCGGAGUCUG
rnacentral:rRNA from 1 species